GAACAAGUCCUGUGAGAAGGCCUCUUCUGC
rnacentral:piRNA from 1 species